AGUGAACGCUGGCGGUAGGCCUAACACAUGCAAGUCGAGCGGCAGCACAGUAAGAGCUUGCUCUUACGGGUGGCGAGUGGCGGACGGGUGAGGAAUACAUCGGAAUCUACUUUUUCGUGGGGGAUAACGUAGGGAAACUUACGCUAAUACCGCAUACGACCUACGGGUGAAAGCAGGGGAUCUUCGGACCUUGCGCGAUUGAAUGAGCCGAUGUCGGAUUAGCUAGUUGGCGGGGUAAAGGCCCACCAAGGCGACGAUCCGUAGCUGGUCUGAGAGGAUGAUCAGCCACACUGGAACUGAGACACGGUCCAGACUCCUACGGGAGGCAGCAGUGGGGAAUAUUGGACAAUGGGCGCAAGCCUGAUCCAGCCAUACCGCGUGGGUGAAGAAGGCCUCCGGGUUGUAAAGCCCUUUUGUUGGGAAAGAAAAGCAGCAGGUUAAUACCCCGCUGUUCUGACGGUACCCAAAGAAUAAGCACCGGCUAACUUCGUG
rnacentral:rRNA from 1 species